AUUGAGCGCUGGCGGCAGGCUUAACACAUGCAAGUCGAGCGGUAGCACAGGGGAGCUUGCUCCCUGGGUGACGAGCGGCGGACGGGUGAGUAAUGUCUGGGAAACUGCCUGAUGGAGGGGGAUAACUACUGGAAACGGUAGCUAAUACCGCAUAACGUCGCAAGACCAAAGAGGGGGACCUUCGGGCCUCUUGCCAUCAGAUGUGCCCAGAUGGGAUUAGCUAGUAGGUGGGGUAAUGGCUCACCUAGGCGACGAUCCCUAGCUGGUCUGAGAGGAUGACCAGCCACACUGGAACUGAGACACGGUCCAGACUCCUACGGGAGGCAGCAGUGGGGAAUAUUGCACAAUGGGCGCAAGCCUGAUGCAGCCAUGCCGCGUGUGUGAAGAAGGCCUUCGGGUUGUAAAGCACUUUCAGCGAGGAGGAAGGUGGUGAGCUUAAUACGUUCAUCAAUUGACGUUACUCGCAGAAGAAGCACCGGCUAACUCCGU
rnacentral:rRNA from 1 species